rnacentral:rRNA from 1 species
UACGUAGGGUGCGAGCGUUAAUCGGAAUUACUGGGCGUAAAGAGUGCGUAGGCGGUUCUUGAAGUCCGCUGUGAAAGCCCCGGGCUUAACCUGGGAAUGGCAGUGGAAACUGGGGGACUUGAAUUGAGCAGAGGGGGGUGGAAUGCCGCGUGUAGCAGUGAAAUGCGUAGAGAUGCGGCGGAACACCGAUGGCGAAGGCAGCAAACUGGGCCACAUCUGACGCUGAGGCGCGAAAGCGUGGGUAGCAAACAGG